rnacentral:rRNA from 1 species
AGUGAACGCUGGCGGUAGGCCUAACACAUGCAAGUCGAACGGCAGCACAGUAAGAGCUCGCUCUUACGGGUGGCGAGUGGCGGACGGGUGAGGCAUACAUCGGAAUCUACUUUUUCGGGGGGGAUAACGUAGGGAAACUUACACUAAUACCGCAUACGACCUACCGGUGAAAGCAGGAGAUCUUCGGACCUUUCCCGAUUGAAUUAGCCGAUGUCGGAUUAGCUAGUUGGCAGGGUAAAGGCCCACCAAGGCGACGAUCCGUAGCUGGCCUGAGAGGAUGGUCGGCCCAACUGGAACUGGGAAACGGUCCAGACUCCUACGGGAGGCAGCAGGAGGGAAUUUUCCGCAAUGGGGGAAAGCCUGACGCAGCAACGCCGGGGGGGUGAUGAAGGUCUUCGGGUCGUAAAACUCUUUUAUUAGGGAAGAAAAAAUGUGUAAGUAACCACGCACGUCUUGACGGUACCUAAACAGAAAGCCACGGCUAACUUCGUG